rnacentral:misc_RNA from 1 species
UCUCCGUUGGUGAACCAGCGGAGGGAUCAUUACUGAGUGUAAAAACUCCCAAACCCCUGUGAACAUACCAUCUGUUGCUUCGGCGGGAUCGCCCCGGGCGCCUUUGCGUGCCCCGGAUCCAGGCGCCCGCCGGAGGACUCCAAACUCUUGUUUUUAUAUGUGGCAUUAUCUGAGUGGCUUAUAGCAAAAUAAAUCAAAACUUUCAACAAUGGAUCUCUUGGCUCUG